UACGUAGGGACCAAGCGUUGUUCGGAUUUACUGGGCGUAAAGGGCGCGUAGGCGGCAAUUCAAGUCAUCUGUGAAAUCUCUGGGCUUAACCCAGAACGGCCAGGUGAUACUGCUUUGCUAGAGUGCGGAAGGGGCAAUCGGAAUUCUUGGUGCAGCGGUGAAAUGCGUAAAUAUCAAGAGGAACACCUGAGGUGAAGACGGGUUGCUGGGCCGACACUGACGCUGACAGCGCGAAAGCCAGGGGAGCAAACGGG
rnacentral:rRNA from 1 species